rnacentral:rRNA from 1 species
GACGGGUGAGUAUGCAUCGGACUGCAGUAGUGGGGAUACCCCGGCGAAAGCCGGAUUAUACCGACACGACCUACGGUGAAAGCGGGGGACGAGCCUCGCGCUAUUGGAGCGGCGAUGUCAGAUUAGGUAGUUGGUGGGGUAAAGGCCUACCAAGCCUGCGAUCUGUAGCUGGUCUGAAGGACGACAGCCACACUGGGACUGAGACACGGCCCAACUCCUACGGGAGGCAGCAGUGGGGAAUUUUGGACAAUGGGGGCAACCCUGAUCCAGCCAUGCCGCGUGCGGGAAGAAGGCCUUCGGGUUGUAAACCGCUUUUGUCAGGGAAGAAAUCCUCUGGGCUAACACCUCGGGGGGAUGACGGUACCUGGAGAAUAAGCACCGGCUAACUACGUGCCACAGCCGCGGUAAUACCUAGGGUGCAAGCGUUAAUCGGAAUUACUGGGCGUAAAGCGUGCGCAGGCGGUUGUGCAAGACAGAUGUGAAAUCCCCGGGCUUAACCUGGGGAACUGCAUUUGUGACUUGCACGGUAAAGUGCGGCAGAGGGGGAUGGAAUUCCGCGUGUACAUGAAAUGCGUAAUUGCGGAGGAACACCGAUGGCGA